UGGAAGAUCUUCUAAUUGACAAUCAUAUUGUUUUUAGAAGUAUAUAUCCUAUAUAUAUGGGUAAUUGAUAAUAUCCAACGAACUAAAUCUUAUUCAAGUUCGUUCUUCUCCUAAUGGAGAAAUCCAUUAUCUUAUGAUGCUUCUUUCCUUGAUAUCUUUCAAGAAAAUUAUUCUAAAGUGUUACCAUUCCUUGGAUCAAAUCUGAGGAUGUAAAUACUUUAGACGUCUUACUCAUCAACUUACAUUUCUUGAAUUCUUUGAAACAUUUUGCAAAGUAUUCGGACUUGUGUUUAUUCAAAAAUAAACUAUAGUCCAACCGAGAGUGAUCUUCGGUGAAUGUUAUCCAACAUGAGUAGUAUUAUGUUUGUGGACAAGUGCCACUAACAUCUAAGUGAAUUAACCUCAACAACUUUGUGAUUCUUUCUUCUUUCCAAAAGAAUAAAGAUUCGAACAUUUCGCCUCUAUACAAUUUUAACAAGAAGGUAUUGGAUCCGGAUCUAAUGAUCCAAAGCGUCCAUCUAUGACCAACUCGUAAUUUAUGUUUUAGAGAUAUCACAACUUUAGUUGGGAUUAGUCACUACUUUGCAACCUUUUGGGUUUUUAAGCAUCAUUAUAUUCUAAACAGUUAACACUACCAUAUCAUCUCUACUAUAGAGAUAAUUAAUUAGAUUACAAUAAUCUAAUCAUUGAUUAAUAAAGAACAAUGUUUUGUCAAACAAAACAUUCAUCCAUCUCUACUAUAGUGACGGAAUUAAAUUCCUUAAAAUUGGAAUGUAAAGACAAUCUUUGGUUUUUCCAAUUUCUUUGGUAAUUCAUAUGAGGAAGUAAGUACCAUCUGCUUUCGCAGAAAUCUAUAUUUUAUUCACUUUCCGAAUGUGAAGUACUUUCUCUUCUCUCAUAUAUCUUCUACUUCUUAUUAGCCAUACUUUUACAACGAUUGUAAAACUUAGUUACUAAUACGGAAUCAAGCAUUCAAGUAGAAGAACCAACUGUUUUGAACUAUUCAAGAACAAUUUACAACGCCUUCAAAAGGUGUGUUCUUGACACUUGCAAGACAUUUCUUGCAAAUACCCCUUCCAAUGUCCAUCCUUUCAUAAAGAAAGUUUGUUCCCUUGGAGUUAUUUUGCUUUCUUCAUUUGACUUCUCCUUUGACUACCAUAGUCAAGGUCCCUAAACUCCCACUAUCUCUCUUGAAACUUAUUUCAAUUGUGUCAUACACAUCAAACAUUUUGGAGAGCAUGUGGUUAUUGUACACUACAUAGUUUACAAUAAACUUAGUGAACGAUUAGGAUAGGGACACAAAGGUGAAGUCCUUGCCUAGUUCCCGUCUCUAGAAGUGUUUUAAUACUUCAACACUCAAUGAUUCAAAAUCAUCAUAAGUCCAUGUUGAUGGACUAUUUUUGUCAACCAACCAUUAUGUUCUAAACAUAAUUACAAACUUUCAAGAGUUGUUCAAAGCAACU
rnacentral:lncRNA from 1 species